rnacentral:rRNA from 1 species
UUUGAUCCUGGCUCAGGACGAACGCUGGCGGCGUGCCUAAUACAUGCAAGUCGAGCGGACAGAUGGGAGCUUGCUCCCUGAUGUUAGCGGCGGACGGGUGAGUAACACGUGGGUAACCUGCCUGUAAGACUGGGAUAACUUCGGGAAACCGGGGCUAAUACCGGAUGCUUGAUUGAACCGCAUGGUUCAAUUAUAAAAGGUGGCUUUUAGCUACCACUUACAGAUGGACCCGCGGCGCAUUAGCUAGUUGGUGAGGUAACGGCUCACCAAGGCAACGAUGCGUAGCCGACCUGAGAGGGUGAUCGGCCACACUGGGACUGAGACACGGCCCAGACUCCUACGGGAGGCAGCAGUAGGGAAUCUUCCGCAAUGGACGAAAGUCUGACGGAGCAACGCCGCGUGAGUGAUGAAGGUUUUCGGAUCGUAAAACUCUGUUGUUAGGGAAGAACAAGUACCGUUCGAAUAGGGCGGUACCUUGACGGUACCUAACCAGAAAGCCACGGCUAACUACGUGCCAGCAGCCGCGGUAAUACGUAGGUGGCAAGCGUUGUCCGGAAUUAUUGGGCGUAAAGCGCGCGCAGGCGGUUUCUUAAGUCUGAUGUGAAAGCCCCCGGCUCAACCGGGGGAGGGUUCAUUGGAAACUGGGGAACUUGAGUGCAGAAGAGGGAGAGUGGAAUUCCACGUGUAGCGGUGAAAUGCCGUAGAGAUGUGGAGGAACACCAGUGGCGAAAGGCGACUCUCUGGUCUGUAACUGACGCUGGAGGCGCGAAAGCCGUUGGGGAGCGAACAGGAUUUAGAUACCCCUGGUUAGU